UAUGUAAACCUCCAGUACCUUUGUAACUGAUGAAAAUGUGCUCACUGUAAGCAUGAGUUAAGUUUGCUCAAACGUGAGUUUAAAUGAAAUGAGCUGCUUGAUGUCACUGGAUUGCUUAUUGGCAAAAUCCCAUUUCCUCCCUAUUGACUUAAGUAGCAAGUUGCUUCCAAAUUAAAAUAGAAGUGUGGGAGUCAGAAUCCAAGAUUUUUCUGUCCCAUGAUCGCAACCCCCAAAUAUAGCAGCAGUACCUGGGAACGUUGUAGGAGUUAAAAGUCUUCGUCUUGGUAGGACAGUCAGGUGAUGGGAAUUUAUACGCCUCCAGAACUUCCGAUGCCUCCCUUCUCCCUCUGAGUUUGCUUCCCCAUUACAUGCUCACUGUUCUUCCCACACCACUGUUUUUCAGGUUUUGCUGAAACUCAGGACUUCAGUAGCUUGUCCGGGACUUUCACAUGUUGCACAACCCUUUCCUGCCUGCAAGAGACACGACUUGGUGACUUGUACUGCAGUGAGCUGCCGAGGUAACUGAUAAUUUCAUGCUAUCUAGUCUAAGUAGAUAUUACUUGCUUCUACAAACUUUUGCUGCUACAGCCUUAAAUCAGCAUGUCUGCGAGUGUAGACCCAGGCACGUUUU
rnacentral:lncRNA from 1 species